rnacentral:rRNA from 1 species
GUAGAGGGGGGUAGAAUNCCAGGUGUAGCGGUGAAAUGCGUAGAGAUNUGGAGGAAUACCGGUGGCGAAGGCGGCCCCCUGGACGAAGACUGACGCUCAGGUGCGAAAGCGUGGGGAGCAAGCAGGAUUAGAUACCCUGGUAGUCCACGCCGUAAACGAUGUCGACUUGGAGGUUGUGCCCUUGAGGCGUGGCUUCCGGAGCUAACGCGUUAAGUCGACCGCCUGGGGAGUACGGCCGCAAGGUUAAAACUCAAAUGAAUUGACGGGGGCCCGCACAAGCGGUGGAGCAUGUGGUUUAAUUCGAUGCAACGCGAAGAACCUUACCUGGUCUUGACAUCCACGGAAGUNNUCAGAGAUGAGAAUGUGCCUUCGGGAACCGUGAGACAGGUGCUGCAUGGCUGUCGUCAGCUCGUGUUGUGAAAUGUUGGGUNNNNNNNNNNCAACGAGCGCAACCCUUAUCCUUUGUUGCCAGCGGUCCGGCCGGGAACUCAAAGGAGACUGCCAGUGAUAAACUGGAGGAAGGUGGGGAUGACGUCAAGUCAUCAUGGCCCUUACGACCAGGGCUACACACGUGCUACAAUGGCGCAUACAAAGAGAAGCGACCUCGCGAGAGCAAGCGGACCUCAUAAAGUGCGUCGUAGUCCGGAUUGGAGUCUGCAACUCGACUCCAUGAAGUCGGAAUCGCUAGUAAUCGUGGAUCAGAAUGCCACGGUGAAUACGUUCCCGGGCCU